CCUACGGGGGGCUGCAGUAGGGAAUUUUCCACAAUGGGCGAAAGCCUGAUGGAGCAACGCCGCGUGGGUGAAGAAGGUCUUCGGAUCGUAAAACCCUGUUGUUAGAGAAGAAAGUGCGUGCGAGUAACUGUUCACGUUUCGACGGUAUCUAACCAGAAAGCCCCGGCUAACUACGUGACAGCAGCCGCGGUAAUACGUAGGUGGCAAGCGUUAUCCGGAUUUGUUGGGGGUAAAGGGAACGCAGGCGGUCUUUUAAGUCUGAUGUGAAAGCCUUCGGCUUAACCGGAGUAGGGCAUUGGAGACUGGGAGACUGGAGUGCAGAAGAGGAGAGUGGAACUCCAUGUGUAGCGGUGAAAUGCGUAGAUAUAUGGAAGAACACCAGUGGCGAAAGCGGCUCGCUGGUCUGUAACUGACGCUGAGGUUCGAAAGCGUGGGUAGCAAACAGGAUUAGAUACCCGAGUAGUC
rnacentral:rRNA from 1 species